GCAAACUUGGUCAUUUAGAGGAAGUAAAAGUCGUAACAAGGUCUCCGUAGGUGAACCUGCGGAGGGAUCAUUGUCGUCGCGGGGUCGAGGUCUCUCUUGACCCGUCGCGAUCCUUCUCCCUCAAAUCCGUGGAAACGAGCCCUGUGGUUUUCGGUGCCUCUGUCGGAGGCGCCGGGCGAAUGCCUUUUCUCAUGGUUUUUUUGUGGUCUGAUUGAAGCCAUUGAUUUUUAAAAACUUUCAACAAAGGAUCUCUUGGCUCUCGCAUCGAUGAAGAACGCAGC
rnacentral:misc_RNA from 1 species